CGAUGUCCGACGAAUUUUUCGGUUGAAAUGGUGGGCCUAGAAGGAAUUUUAGGUUCUCUUUUUCAUAAAUUCUUGCGUUCGACCUAGGCUAGCAGAUAGAGCAAGUCACGCAUAAACAGGAAACAGUCGUCGGAUCGCGUCGCGUAAUGGUUCGUCC
rnacentral:SRP_RNA from 1 species